UACGUAGGGUGCGAGCGUUGUCCGGAAUUAUUGGGCGUAAAGAGCUUGUAGGCGGUUUGUCGCGUCUGCUGUGAAAAUCCGGGGCUCAACCCCGGACUUGCAGUGGGUACGGGGCAGACUAGAGUGUGGUAGGGGGAGACUGGAAUUCCUGGUGUAGCGGUGGGAAUGACGCAGAUAUCAGGAGGAACACCGAUGGCGAAGGCAGGUCUCUGGGCCACUACUGACGCUGAGAAACGAAAGCAUGGGGGAGCGAACAGG
rnacentral:rRNA from 1 species